UACGUAGGGGGCGAGCGUUGUCCGGAUUUAUUGGGCGUAAAGAGCUCGUAGGCGGUUUGGCAAGUCGGGUGUGAAAACUCCGGGCUCAACUCGGAGACGCCACUCGAUACUGCUAUGACUCGAGUCCGGUAGGGGAGUGCGGAAUUCCUGGUGUAGCGGUGAAAUGCGCAGAUAUCAGGAGGAACACCGGUGGCGAAGGCGGCACGCUGGGCCGGUACUGACGCUGAGGAGCGAAAGCGUGGGGAGCGAACAGG
rnacentral:rRNA from 1 species